GGAGUUAGCCGGUGCUUCUUCUGUGAGUGAUGUCCUUCCUGCCGGCUAUUAACCCGCAGGCCUUCUUCCUCACUGAAAGUGCUUUACAACCCGAAGGCCUUCUUCACACACGCGGCAUGGCUGGAUCAGGGUUGCCCCCAUUGUCCAAUAUUCCCCACUGCUGCCUCCCGUAGGAGUCUGGGCCGUGUCUCAGUCCCAGUGUGGCUGAUCAUCCUCUCAGACCAGCUACGGAUCGUCGCCUUGGUGAGCCGUUACCUCACCAACCAGCUAAUCCGACAUAGGCUCAUCCGAUAGCGCGAGGCCCGAAGGUCCCCCGCUUUCCCCCGUAGGGCGUAUGCGGUAUUAGCCUGGGUUUCCCCAGGUUAUCCCCCACUACCGGGCAGAUUCCUAUUCAUUACUCACCCGUCCGCCGCUCGCCACCAGGGAGCAAGCUCCCCGUGCUGCCGCUCGACUUGCAUGUGUUAGUCCUGCCGCCAGCGUUCAAUCUGAGCCAUGAUCAAACUCUGA
rnacentral:rRNA from 1 species